rnacentral:rRNA from 1 species
AAACAGGGCCCGGAUUCUUUCGGGAGGCAGCGGUGGGGAAUUUCCGGCANUGGGCGGAAGCCUGACGGAGCAACCCCGCGUGAGGGACGAAGGCUUCUGGGGCUUUAAACUUUUUUCUCAAGAAGGAAGAUAUGACGGUACUUGAGGAAUAAGCCACGGCUAUUUCCGUGCCAGCAGCCGCGGUAAUACGGGAGUGGCAAGCGUUAUCGGGAAUUAUUGGGCGUAAAGCGUCCGCAGGCGGCUUUUCAAGUCUGCUGUUAAAGCGUGGAGCUUAACUCCAUCAUGGCAGUGGAAACUGAAAGGCUUGAGUAUGGUAGGGGCAGAGGGAAUUCCCGGUGUAGCGGUGAAAUGCGUAGAUAUCGGGAAGAACACCAGUGGCGAAGGCGCUCUGCUGGGCCAUUACUGACGCUCAUGGACGAAAGCCAGGGGAGCGAAAGGGAUUAGAUACCCCUGUAGUCCUGGCCGUAAACGAUGAACACUAGGUGUCGGGGGAAUCGACCCCUUCGGUGUCGUAGCUAACGCGUUAAGUGUUCCGCCUGGGGAGUACGCACGCAAGUGUGAAACUCAAAGGAAUUGACGGGGGCCCGCACAAGCGGUGGAGUAUGUGGUUUAAUUCGAUGCAACGCGAAGAACCUUACCAGGGUUUGACAUCCUGCGAACCUCUUAGAAAUUUGAGGGUGCCUUCGGGAAUGCAGUGACAGGUGGUGCAUGGCUGUCGUCAGCUCGUGUCGUGAGAUGUUGGGUUAAGUCCCGCAACGAGCGCAACCCACGUUUUUAGUUGCCAGCAUUUAGUUGGGCACUCUAGAAAGACCGCCGGUGAUAAACCGGAGGAAGGUGUGGAUGACGUCAAGUCAUCAUGCCCCUUACACCCUGGGCUACACACGUACUACAAUGCUACGGACAAAGGGCAGCAAACUCGCGAGAGCUAGCAAAUCCCAUAAACC